rnacentral:rRNA from 1 species
CCUGCGAAGGGAUACCCGUGAGGGAUCCUGGAGGUAUCAGAAGUGCGAAUGCUGACAUAAGUAACGAUAAACGAAGUGAAAAACUUCGUCGCCGAAAAUCUAAGGGUUUCUAUGCAAGGUUAAUCCGCGUAGAGUUAGUCGGCACCUAAGGCGAGGGCGAAAGCCGUAGUCGAUGGAAACAAGGUUAAUAUUCCUUGACCUGAUGGUAGUGACGGAUUUCGUAAGUUGUGAGUUCUUAAUGGAUUGAACUUGCCGCGAAGAGGUCCCAAGAAAUAGCUCCAUCAUGAAGACCGUACCCGAAACCGACACAGGUAGAUUAAUAGAGUAUAUUUAGGCGCUUGAGAGAAUGAUGUUGAAGGAACUCGGCAAAAUGCUUCCGUAACUUCGGGAUAAGGAAGACCCUUUUGUAGGCAACUAUGGAAGGGUGGCACAAGCCAGGGAGAAGCGACUGUUUAUCAAAAACACAGGGCUCUGCUAACACGUAAGUGGAUGUAUAGGGUCUGACGCCUGCCCGGUGCUGGAAGGUUAAUGCGGUUGGUGCAAGCUAACUUCUGAAGCCCCAGUAAACGGCGGCCGUAACUAUAACGGUCCUAAGGUAGCGAAAUUCCUUGUCGGGUAAGUUCCGACCUGCAUGAAUGGCGUAACGAUUUCUCCGCUGUCUCCAACAUCAACUCAGUGAAAUUGAAUUCUCCGUGAAGAUGCGGAGUUCGCGUAGUUAGACGGAAAGACCCCGUGCACCUUUACUGCAACUUUACAUUGGUGUUAGGAAAAACAUAUUUAGCAUAGGAGGGAGACUUUGAAGCAAAGGCGUCAGCUUUUGUGGAGUCACCAGUGAAAUACCUCUUUUGUUUUUCUUGACAUCUAACCGCUAGCCGUCAUCCGGCAGCGAGACAUUGUAUGGUGGGUAGUUUGACUGGGGCGGUCGCCUCCCAAAUAGUAACGGAGGCGUGCGAAGGUAGGCUCAGAACGGUCAGAAAUCGUUCGUAGAGUGCAAUGGCAUAAGCCUGCCUGACUGUGAGACUGACAAGUCGAGCAGAGACGAAAGUCGGUCAUAGUGAUCCGGUGCUUCUGAGUGGAAGGGGCAUCGCUCAACGGAUAAAAGGUACGCCGGGGAUAACAGGCUGAUACUGCCCAAGAGCUCAUAUCGACGGCAGUGUUUGGCACCUCGAUGAGAUCGGAAGAGCGUCGUGUAGGGAAAGAGUGUAGAU